rnacentral:misc_RNA from 1 species
AUCCUAGAUUAUUUGAUCAACGUGAAUGGGGAAGCAUUUGGUAAACCUUCACAGCUGUCUCUUUUCCUAGUGUUCUACAGUGAAGGGCACAUUUCUGAAUAUUUGCUUUUGUUCUUGAGUUUAGGUCUUCUUUUGAUAAUUUGCUUAGUUUAAGGUUUUUGUACUGUCUGGAUAUUUUAGGUCUAGAAGUGCUGAAUUUUCCUGCUUAAGCAAAGU